UACGAGGGGGGCAAAUGUUGUUCGGAAUCACUGGGCGUAAAGGGAGCGUAGGCGGGUUUUUAAGUCCGGUGUUUAAUCCCGGGGCCCAACCCCGGACAGGCACUUGAAACUGGGAAUCUUGAAUAGUGGAGAGGUCAGUGGAAUUGGGGGUGUAGCGGUGGAAUGCGUAGAGAUCCCCAAGAACACCCGUUGCGAAGGCGGCUGACUGGACACAUAUUGACGCUGAGGCUCGAAAGCAUGGGGAGCAAACAGG
rnacentral:rRNA from 1 species